rnacentral:rRNA from 1 species
GACGAACGCUGGCGGCGUGCUUAACACAUGCAAGUCGAACGGUGAAGCGCCUUCCUUUUUGGUGGGUGUGGAUGAGUGGCGAACGGGUGAGUAACACGUGAGUAACCUGCCCCCUUCUUCUGGAUAACCGCAUGAAAGUGUGGCUAAUACGGGAUAUUCUGGGUCUGUCGCAUGAUGGGUCUGGGAAAGAUAUUGUUUCGGUGGGGGAUGGGCUCGCGGCCUAUCAGCUUGUUGGUGGGGUGAUGGCCUACCAAGGCGGUGACGGGUAGCCGGCCUGAGAGGGUGGACGGUCACACUGGGACUGAGACACGGCCCAGACUCCUACGGGAGGCAGCAGUGGGGAAUAUUGCACAAUGGGCGCAAGCCUGAUGCAGCGACGCCGCGUGAGGGAUGGAAGCCUUCGGGUUGUGAACCUCUUUCGCCAGUGAAGCAGGCCUGCCUCGUUUGUGGGUGGGUUGACGGUAGCUGGAUAAGAAGCGCCGGCUAACUACGUG